rnacentral:rRNA from 1 species
CAUAGCGACUAUCGUGGCAUAUCAAUAAGCGGAGGAAAAGAAACUAACUAGGAUUCCCUUAGUAACGGCGAGUGAAGCGGGAAGAGCUCAAAUUUGAAAUCUUCAAGGUUUACCUUGACGAAUUGUAGUUUAAAGAAGUGUUUUCUGUUGGAGUUUUGGUGAAAGUUCUUUGGAAUAGGACAUCAUAGAGGGUGAGAAUCCCGUAUUUGACCAUUAUUUCCAGCUGUGUGAUACACUUUCAAAGAGUCGGAUUGUUUGGGAAUGCAGUCCAAAAUGGGUGGUAAAUUACAUCUAAAGCUAAAUAUUGGCGAGAGACCGAUAGCGAACAAGUACCGUGAGGGAAAGAUGAAAAGAACUUUGAAAAGAGAGUUAAACAGUACGUGAAAUUGUCAAAAGGGAAGCGUUUGACACCAGUGUUGUUUUCUCGAAAAUCAAUUAAAAAAGGCCGGAUUUUGUGUUGUAUUGACCUUAAAAGCUUUCUUCACUCUUUUCUUGUCUUUUUUAAUGCACUUUUCGUUUAACAAGUCAACAUCAGUUUCUUUUGUUGUAAAAGGGUAAGAGGAAGGUGGCUUGCGCUUCGGCUCAAGUGUUUAUAGCCUUUUGCCUCUGCAAUCGGAGAGAUUGAGGUCUGCAGCGUAGAUCCUUCGGGGUUAGAUACAUUUGUGCUAAGCUAUAGCCUUGUAUAGACAACUUGUUGACUAUGCUCAGUCAUGUAGCUUACUCGCUUAUGCUAUUUUACCUACGCUUAGGAUGUUGAUAGUCACAGCGUGUAC